GAUGAACGCUGGCGGCGUGCCUAAUACAUGCAAGUCGAGCGAACAGAUAAGGAGCUUGCUCCUUUGACGUUAGCGGCGGACGGGUGAGUAACACGUGGGUAACCUACCUAUAAGACUGGAAUAACUCCGGGAAACCGGGGCUAAUGCCGGAUAACAUUUAGAACCGCAUGGUUCUAAAGUGAAAGAUGGUUUUGCUAUCACUUAUAGAUGGACCCGCGCCGUAUUAGCUAGUUGGUAAGGUAACGGCUUACCAAGGCAACGAUACGUAGCCGACCUGAGAGGGGGAUCGGCCACACUGGAACUGAGACACGGUCCAGACUCCUACGGGAGGCAGCAGUAGGGAAUCUUCCGCAAUGGGCGAAAGCCUGACGGAGCAACGCCGCGUGAGUGAUGAAGGUCUUCGGAUCGUAAAACUCUGUUAUUAGGGAAGAACAAAUGUGUAAGUAACUGUGCACGUCUUGACGGUACCUAAUCAGAAAGCCACGGCUAACUACGUG
rnacentral:rRNA from 1 species